rnacentral:rRNA from 1 species
AGUGAACGCUGGCGGUAGGCCUAACACAUGCAAGUCGAACGGCAGCACAGUAAGAGCUUGCUCUUACGGGUGGCGAGUGGCGGACGGGUGAGGAAUACAUCGGAAUCUACUUUUUCGUGGGGGAUAAUGUAGGGAAACUUACGCUAAUACCGCAUACGACCUACGGGUGAAAGCAGGGGAUCUUCGGACCUUGCGCGAUUGAAUGAGCCGAUGUCGGAUUAGCUAGUUGGCGGGGUAAAGGCCCACCAAGGCGACGAUCCGUAGCUGGUCUGAGAGGAUGAUCAGCCACACUGGAACUGAGACACGGUCCAGACUCCUACGGUAGGCGGCAGUGGGGAAUAUUGGACAAUGGGCGCAAGCCUGAUCCAGCCAUACCGCGUGGGUGAAGAAGGCCUUCGGGUUGUAAAGCCCUUUUGUUGGGAAAGAAAAGCAGCAGGUUAAUACCCCGCUGUUCUGACGGUACCCAAAGAAUAAGCACCGGCUAACUUCGUG